UCCUACGGGAGGCAGCAGUGAGGAAUAUUGGUCAAUGGCCGGAAGGCUGGACCAGCCAAGUCGCGUGAGGGAAUAAGGCCCUAUGGGUCGUAAACCUCUUUUGUCGGGGAGCAAAAGACGCCACGCGUGGCGUUCCGAGAGUACCCGAAGAAAAAGCAUCGGCUAACUCCGUGCCAGCAGCCGCGGUAAUACGGAGGAUGCGAGCGUUAUCCGGAUUUAUUGGGUUUAAAGGGUGCGCAGGCGGAAGAUCAAGUCAGCGGUAAAAUUGAGAGGCUCAACCUCUUCGAGCCGUUGAAACUGGUUUU
rnacentral:rRNA from 1 species